UGUCCUACGGGGGGCAGCAGUGGGGAAUAUUGGGCAAUGGGCGCAAGCCUGACCCAGCAACGCCGCGUGAAGGAAGAAGGCUUUCGGGUUGUAAACUUCUUUUCUCAGGGACGAAGCAAGUGACGGUACCUGAGGAAUAAGCCACGGCUAACUACGUGCCAGCAGCCGCGGUAAUACGCAGGUGGCAAGCGUUAUCCGGAUUUACUGGGUGUAAAGGGCGUGUAGGCGGGAAAGCAAGUCAGAUGUGAAAAUUAUGGGCUCAACCCAUAACCUGCAUUUGAAACUGUAGUUCUUGAGGGAUGGAG
rnacentral:rRNA from 1 species